CUCCAGGCCCACCCAAGGCUUCCCCAGCCUCUGGUCCCUUCCCUGCUCCUCAGUCACCGCCUCUCUGGGGAUCUCGACAGUAGAUGAAGUGACAAGUCUUUGUGCUUAAUUAAGACACAUUGUCCCACCAAUUGGGAAGUGGGAAAUGGCUGGGCUGUUUUACAAAUAGAAACAAUUCUUGUUCAUUAUCCCUUAAUUGAGGCAACAAAGGGUUCUGGAAAACAUCCAUCAGAAACACAUUCAUGUACAUCAUCAGAGGGGAUUGGGUUGAGGAGGACACAAAAGCCACAGCAAAUGUUCCAAUCAGGAACGACACAGACAAAGGGAAAAGAGGGCCCCAGAGCCCAAAUGCUGCAGAAUUAGCCCAAUUACACAGUUGAUGUGGUGGGGAACAAGUCUUCUGGCUUCUGGCCACCUCGUCUCUUAGCCUCUUUUUACCCCUCCAACUUCCUUGUAUCAGAUAGAGAGGAGCAAGGAAGAAACCUCCCAGACGCCCUGUAAGCCUGGCUCUGGUUCCCAGGAUGGAGACAGGACGGGCUGACAGAGGGCCCUGGAGGGCGAAAGUUGUCAUCUGAAUCCCAGAUAUGGCCUGCCUGUAAUCGCCACCUCCCUCUUUCUUGUCAGUAUGCUCCUUGUGAUAUGACCUCAGAUACCAAGCAGCUCUAUCUCAGUGGUUUUAUGGUCAGCUUGUGGCUCAAGUCCUUAAGCUAUUUUUAUGUGACUUUUUGUUUUCAGGCUGGAUCUCCCCCAUCCUAUAUUCAAUUAUACAAUUAUAUUUUGGAGUCCAAGUUACAAGUUUGCAGUCACCCAUUUGUCCCAGCCUGUUUGUCUCGUCACUGCAUGGAGGUAACCCGAAUGCCCAGGUAGUGAGAAACUACUGCCAUGGAUCCUCCCAGGAUUUGCUAGAGGAAGCGUGCUAACUGCCUGAGCACCUGACCAGCCAUCUCCGCCUGCUCCCGUCUCUACAUCUGGUCAGUUCAGAGGGUCCAGGUAACAUGGCCCCGUUCAGCCUUUCCUGGAGAGGACAGGGCUUCAAGGCCCAGCUGAAAUGUCACCCCCUCGGUGAGGAAGCCCCCCUGUGCGCCCAUGGGCUCCAGGUACCCUGCACAGCCCCUGGACACCGGGACACCGUGCCACACUUCCAGCAAGCAUGUCACACGACACAACUGUUCCAGUGGACCCUGCAUGAAUUCACCCAGGUUGAUGAGGCCCCGGUGUUUGCUGGAGAGAGCUCUGGGGAGGCUGCAGGUGCAGAGUGGGCCACUCACCUGGCAAAUGAGCCAACCGUGGCCAGGGGAACCUGCAGGGCCCUUCAGACGCUUUUAUGCCAAAAGCUGGGCACAGGAAAUACCUCACGGGCAUGCGGUUGGAAGCCCAAAAGGAGGCACCCUCCACGAGAUGGCCAGGUGGCCCGUGCACACCGGGACGGAUACGCAGCUAGCAGCAGCCUUUGGUGCUUGACAGGAGGUCCUGGGGGAGAGAGGCAGAGACCGAGGUAAGAAACAGGGAGACAGACAGAGAUAAAGGA
rnacentral:lncRNA from 1 species